UACGUAGGUGGCGAGCGUUGUCCGGAUUUACUGGGCGUAAAGCGCGCGCAGGCGGUCCGGUAAGUCUCCGGUGAAAUCGCCCGGCUCAACUGGGCGGGUGCCGGGGAGACUGGCGGACUUGAGGAGCCUAGAGGCCGGUGGAACUCCCGGUGUAGUGGUGAAAUGCGUAGAGAUCGGGAAGAACACCGGUGGCGAAGGCGGCCUGCUGGGCAGUUUUGCUGACACUGAGGCGCGACAGCGUGGGGAGCAAACAGG
rnacentral:rRNA from 1 species